rnacentral:rRNA from 1 species
AAUUCAACAUCGAGGUCGGAAGCUGCUUCAUCGAUAAGAACUCUCCAAAAAAAUAACGCUGUUAUCCCUAAGGUAAAUUAAUCUUAUAAUCAAUAAAAUUGGAUCAAAACAUAAAUUAAUGAAAAAAAAAUUAAUAAAGGUUAUAAAAAUUUUACUGUCACCCCAACAAAAUUUCUUAUCCUAAAAAANUCUUUUUUUACCCAAAAGGAAAAAUUAUAAAAAAAUUAAUUUUCUAUNGGGUCUUCUCGUCCUAUAAAAAAAUUCCAACUUUUUAAUUGAAAAAUUAAAUUCAAAAUAAUUAANUAAAGAAAGUAAAUUUUUCAUCAAACCAUUCAUACUAGCCUCCAAGUAAAAGACAAAUGAUUAUGCUACCUUCGUACAGUUGAAAU